rnacentral:rRNA from 1 species
CCUACGGGAGGCAGCAGUGAGGAAUAUUGGGCAAUGCCCGCAAGGGUGACCCAGCAACGCCGCGUGGAGGAUGAAGGCCGUAAGGUUGUAAACUCCUGUUAGAGGAGAAGAAUAGUACCGAUUGGAUCGGUAUUUGACUGUACCCUCAGAGAAAGCCCCGGCUAACUACGUGCCAGCAGCCGCGGUAAUACGUAGGGGGCAAGCGUUGUCCGGAUUUACGGGGUGUAAGGGGGGCGCGGGCGUGAGAGCAGAAAUCCUACAGCUUAACUGUAGAACUGCCUUUGAUACUGUUAGUCUUGAGUUCGGGAGAGGGAGACGGAAUUCCGAGUGUAGUGGUGAAAUACGUAGAUAUCUGGAAGAACACCAGUUGCGAAGGCGGUCUCUUGGUCCGAUACUGACGCUGAGGCGCGAAAGCGUGGGGAGCAAACAGGAUUAGAUACCCCGGUAGUC